rnacentral:rRNA from 1 species
UACGUAGGGUGCGAGCGUUGUCCGGAAUUAUUGGGCGUAAAGGGCUCGUAGGCGGUUUGUCGCGUCGGGAGUGAAAUCCACUGGCUUAACUGGUGGCUUGCUUUCGAUACGGGCAGACUGGAGGUAUGCAGGGGAGAACGGAAUUCCUGGUGUAGCGGUGAAAUGCGCAGAUAGUCAGGAGGAACACCGGUGGCGAAGGCGGGUCUCUGGGCCGAUACUGACGCUGGAGGAGCGAAAGCGUGGGGAGCGAACAGG